AUGCCCUUACUUCUGGGCCCCUUUGUCCGCUGUAGGCUCAGCGCCACGCUCCUUGCGCUCUGGCUCGUCCUCUCUGGCUUCACCUGCACUGGUGGUUCUGAGCACGCUGCCACGGCGACGCUUCCCGCCGCCUUCUCGGACCUGUUACCUCACUUCUUGGUAGAGCCGGAGGACGAGUACAUCGUAAAGAACAAGCCGGUGACUCUGACCUGCCGCUCCACCCCGGCCACGCAGAUCUACUUCAAAUGCAACGGCGAGUGGGUUCACCAAGAUGACCACUUGAUUGAACGGACUGUUGACCCAGCAACAGCGCUGCCAGUCAUGCAGGUGACAAUCGAAAUAACCAGGCAGCAGGUGGAGAAGAUCUUCGGACUUGAUGAGUACUGGUGUCAGUGUGUCGCCUGGAGCACCACCGGAACCCAGAAGAGCCAGAAAGCAUACAUCAGGAUUGCUUACCUGAGAAAGAACUUUGAGGAGGAGCCGCAGGGUAAAGAGGUGGCAUUGGACCAGGAGGUGUUGCUGCGCUGCCAUCCCCCCGAGGGAGUGCCACAAGCCGAGGUGGAGUGGCAGAGAAACGAGGAUGUGAUCGACCCAGCGAGUGACCCCAAUUUUGUCAUCACGCCCGACCAUAAUCUCGUCAUCAAAAAAGCCCGGCUGGCCGACACCGGCAACUACACGUGCGUGGCCAAAAACAUCGUCGCUCGCCGCAAAAGCACCUCUGCCGCGAUCCUUGUCUAUGUCAACGGUGGCUGGUCCACGUGGACCACCUGGUCGUCCUGCAGUGCCGUGUGUGGGCGUGGCUGGCAGAAGAGGAGUCGGAGCUGCACCAACCCCACGCCACUGAAUGGAGGCACAUCCUGUGAGGGGCAGAACGUCCAGAAAAGUGCCUGUGUGGCCACCUGUCCAGUGGACGGAGGCUGGAGCGAGUGGAGCAAGUGGUCAGCAUGUGGCGCAGACUGUUCGAUGUGGAGGAGCAGAGAGUGCACCCAGCCCUCACCUGGCACAGGGGGCAAAGACUGCCAGGGGCUUGAUCUCCAGUCUCUCAACUGUACCAGCGAGCAGUGUCCACAGAGUGAGUGCACCACCACCCACGCGCCCGGAGCCGAGGACGUGGCGCUCUAUGUGGGCAUGGUGGCCGUGGCCCUGUGUCUGACCCUGCUGCUCAUUGUGGUCGUCCUGGUCUACAGGCGCAAGAAGGAAGGCCUGGAUGCCGACGUGGCCGACUCCUCCAUCCUCACCACUGGCUUCCAGCCCAUGGGCAUCAAGCCCAGCAAGCCAGAGAACUCCCAUUUACUCACCAUCCAGCCUGAUCUAACCACCACCACCACCAGUUAUCAAGGCACCCUGCGCUCUCGCCACGAUGCCACCGGGAAGUUUUCGAUGACCAACGGGCCUCUGCUGGACCCGCUUCCCAACGGCUCACACACCUUGCACAACGGCAAGCUCAACUCUGAUGCUGCUGCCGAGUUUGUGAGCAGGCUCUCCACCCAGAGCUACUUUAAAACGCUGCCCCGCGACGUGGCCAACACCUCCUACGGGACCUUCAACUUCCUAGGCGGCAGGCUGACUAUCCCCAACACAGGAAUCAGUCUGCUCAUUCCUCCCGAGGCCAUCCCCAGAGGAAAGAUCUAUGAGAUUUAUCUCACUGUUCAGAGGAAGGAAGAUUUAAGGUUACCCCUGGCUGGCUGCCAGACCCUCCUCAGCCCCAUUGUGAGUUGUGGCCCUCCGGGGGUGGUCCUGAGCCGGCCAGUUAUCCUCAGCAUGGACCACUGCUUUGAUGCAUGCCUGGAUAACUGGGCCGUGCGCCUUAAGAAGCAGAACUAUGAGGGCGCUUGGGAGGACGUCCUGUUGAUGGGAGAGGAGCUGGUGUCAGACCCUUAUUACUGCCAGCUCGAGGCCGAGACGUGCCGGCUCUUCUCGGAGCAGCUGGGUACAUUCGCCCUGGUGGGCGAGUCCCUGCACAUGGGCGCCGCCAAGCGCCUGAGGCUGGUGCUCUUCUCGGACGCUUACUGCUCCACGCUGGAGUACAACAUCAGGGUAUACUGCAUGGACGACACAGUCGCUCUAACGGUAGCGUCGGCAGCUCGGGGUCGGCUGAUUGACGAGCCUCACGUCCUGCUUUUCAAAGACAGCUACCACAACCUGCGCCUGUCCAUCCAUGACAUGCCCCAGGCGCACUGGAGGAGCAAGCUGCUAGCCGGCUACCAGGAGAUCCCAUUCUACCACAUCUGGAACGGUUCCCAGCGGUACCUGCACUGCACGUUCACUCUGGAGCGGCUCAGCCUCAGCACCUGCGAGCUCACCUGCCAGCUGUGUGUGUGGCAGGUGGAGGGGGAGGGACAGAGCUUUAGCCUGGACUUUAACAUUGCCAAGGACACUCGAGCGUUGGACUCUGAGUUUCUGUUAAUGGACAGUAACGCCACAGCUCUGGCGGGACCCAGCGCCUUUCAGAUCCCGUACCUCAUCAGGCAGAAGAUCUGCAGCAGCCUGGAUGCCCCCUGUCCCAACGGAGCCGACUGGAGAAUGCUAGCACAAAGACUUAAACUCGAGAGUUUCCUUGCAUCCAAAGCGAGCCCAACCUCUGUGAUCCUGGACCUAUGGGAGGCGCAACAUUUCCACAGCGGCAACAUCAACCAGCUGGCCACGGUCAUGGCCGACAUCGGCAAACAGGAAGCCAUGAUAUUCCUGGUCUCCGAUGGCGAGUGCUAA
rnacentral:lncRNA from 1 species